rnacentral:rRNA from 1 species
GACGAACGCUGGCGGCGUGCUUAACACAUGCAAGUCGAACGAAGAGCGAUGGAAGCUUGCUUCUAUCAAUCUUAGUGGCGAACGGGUGAGUAACGCGUAAUCAACCUGCCCUUCAGAGGGGGACAACAGUUGGAAACGACUGCUAAUACCGCAUACGAUCUAACCUCGGCAUCGAGGAUGGGUGAAAGGUGGCCUCUAUUUAUAAGCUAUCACUGAAGGAGGGGAUUGCGUCUGAUUAGCUAGUUGGAGGGGUAACGGCCCACCAAGGCGAUGAUCAGUAGCCGGUCUGAGAGGAUGAACGGCCACAUUGGGACUGAGGCACGGCCCAGACUCCUACGGGAGGCAGCAGUGGGGAAUCUUCCGCAAUGGACGAAAGUCUGACGGAGCAACGCCGCGUGAGUGAUGACGGCCUUCGGGUUGUAAAGCUCUGUUAAUCGGGACGAAAGGCCUUCUUGCGAAUAGUUAGAAGGAUUGACGGUACCGGAAUAGAAAGCCACGGCUAACUACGUG